CCAGAGUCGUCCACGACUGGUCAGGGGUCCCUUUACCUUUAUAUUGAUUAUUGCCUUCAUUUUAUGGGUCUAUGGUCUUUUUAGACAGUAAAAUCCAUGUUAAAUUGCUGUUUUAGGAGGUGUUUUUCAUCAUCAAUUCACUUUUCCAUUACUUUCUAUGGAGAAGUGCACCUCUACCUAUGUACAUUUCUACGUAGUUAUGACCGGACCUCCGGAACAGAUUAUGGUUGUAAGUAGAAGUUCCACUGUAGAUUGCUUUGAUACUUCAUUAGGGUUCCCUGGAACAUGGGCGCUGGCAUCUCCCCCCUGUGCCACUUGGGAAUUAAUUCCAGUUCGAGCUGAGAGCAUUCCAUUCAUCCCUCUCACAGACCAUGCCAUUGCUGCUUUAGGCUUGAUGUGAAGACCAUCACGACUUGCUCUUUUUCUGCGACAUGACUGAAGGAAACAAAGGCUUCCCUGCCGUUGUACCAGUGGAUUCCUUGACAACUUGCAUCACUGGUUCGAACGUGUAUUAAAGAUUAACUAAGGCUGCAAGCAUCCUUGCACCAUUGAAAACAAAGUUAUAAAACGUGCUCUGAGACCUUGUUUUGGAAUGCAAGAGGUGUUUGGUGUCUUGUUUCCUUUGUGUAUACAAGAAUUUGAUACCCCUUUGCUGUGAGUGAGAUAUAUAUUGCGUGUUUGGACACCAGCUCAGCUCUGUGCAAACCCCAACACACCUGGGUUAUGGAAAUCUUAGGCUGUGCACCUUAGCCCACAAACAUGGUAAUUUUCAUUGGCCUCUAUGUGGCUUGCUUCCAAGGAGAUGUGCUGGGGAAGAAUUGUAACUGAGUGCUAGGAAACAUGCGAAAAUUCCAAUGUUCAAUCUCACAUAAAACCCCAGAGCUGCUGGCUGUUAGUGAAGACAAAACUAACUUGGAUUGAUCCAGUGGUCUGAUUCCACAUAAGGCAUCAAUCCUUUGCUGGAGUAGGCACAAACUCCACUGGUCAUCUCUCCUAGCGCUGCUUUAACCGUCUCAAAAGUGCCAAAGAAAUUUCUUCUUUCUACUAUUGCAGUGGAAUUGGCACACACGCCAGCAUGCAAGUAACCAUGGUUUUGUUUUUUAGCAGAUAUGGCCUUUAACGGACAUGGUGCCACGGAGAUUUCUACAUAGGUACCUUGGUUUACGAACUUAAUCCGUUCCAGAAGUCCGUUCUUAAACCAAAGCGUUCUUAAACCAAGGCGUGCUUUCCCAUAGCAGCAGGGGACUCAAUUUCCAAAUGGAACACACUCAACAGGAUAAGCUGGUCUCCAACCGUAAUAAAUUAUCUAUCUAUCUAUCUAUCUAUCAUUCAGCAGGAAGCGAAACAUGUUCUGCUUCCAAGACAAAGUUCACAAACCAAAAUACCUACUUCCGGGUUUGCAGCGUUCUUCAUCCAAGUUGUUCAUAAACUAAGCUGUUCUUAAACCAAAGUACCACUGUACUUAAAGAAAGCACAGUUUUCCAAUUGGAAGCAGUUGCACUUGCUGUUUGUCAUCGCAUCUUGAGAACUGGUCCUCUCGCCCAGCAUUAGGCACAUACAAAGGUGCUUUCCAUCAAGUCAGUGACUCUGCAAGAUUUCAGGAAGUGGUCUCUCUCCCAGCCCUACCCAGAGAUGACGGGGAUUGAACCUGAGACCUUCUGCUUGCAAGGCAGAAACUCCAGGCAGUCCUGGACUAGACAGAUCUCUCAUUUGAUUCCCUAUAUGGCAGCUUCCACCAUGUGCAUUAUUAAUUUCAUUUUUGGCAAAAUGCACCUGCUGCUCAACCGACAAAAUACCUCCAGGCCCUUUGCAUAAAAUGCUGUGAAACAGAUAUUUAAAACAGCAGCGAAGGUGGACUUUAAAAACAAAUAAAAUUGUAAAAAUAAAAUUUCAAAACGAAGAUAAAAUGAUUAGAUUUUUUUAAAUGUCCAUACAUAAUGUUUAGAUUGCUUAAACAACAACAAGUUUUUGGCAGGCAUCGAACAGAACAGAGAAGGCAGCUGCCUAAUAUUAACAUAUUGAUACUAAUAAGGUAAUAUAAUUGUAAACAUGAUGGGAGAGGGAAGAGAGAGCUCUGAGGAGCAGAUGGUUCCCUGGUUUUUACUUCCUUUUGCCAAACCUGUACUGGCAGGAGAGUUGACACGUGGCCAUUGUGUGUUGAUUUAUCUGCAGUGCUUUCUUAAAAUGCUCUUCCACGUGGCUUCUGUAACUCUUUCAAGUACUGUUCCAUUGAUGAUCACUUCCAUUCAUUCCCUUGUAUCUCAGAUUACUUGCAGGACUUUGGAAUCAAUUCUGGAACUGGCGCUUGGAUGGCUUCUUUUGCCGCAUCCUCUCCUUGCUCACGCAGUCACAACCCCUACGAAGAGAUGUCAUAAUACAUGUCUGAUUUCACACCGGCAGAGGUCAUGCUUUGGUUUAGUGGCGGGGUGAGGUUGACUAAGGUUUGCCUCGCAUCUGACACCUUGCUCUGUCCGCAUUCUUUGUGUGUUUUGAAUUAUGUUGGUGGCUCAGGCGCAAAUCAGCGGAUCGGAUUAACAUUUUCUGUGCGCUGGUGUAACACCAGGCCCUGUGAUCUUUCCCUGCUUUCCAGCAGCGAGGUCACAGAUGGGGCAGUGCCCCAUAUAAUCCGACAUCCUGUUCUUGCAAGCAGGACCUUAGCCUUCUCCAGUCCUACAAUCUCUCAGUGUCUGAUAGCUAGAUAGGUUUCUUGUAGAGUGGUACUUUGGUUCUCAAACUUAAUCCGUUCCGGAAGUCCGUUCCAAAACCAAAGCGUUCCAAAACCAAGGCGUGCCUUCCCAUAGCAAGUAAUGCAACAAAAUGGAUUAAUCCGUUCCAGACUUCUAAAAACAACCGUUAAAACAGCAAUUUAAAACUAAUUUUGCUGUCUAACGAGACCAUUGAUCCAUAAAAUGAAAGCUAUAAAGAGUGUACUGCAGUCACACAAUCAAUCAGUCAGUAGCUGAACUGGGUUCUUCCACACAGUCGCGAAAACAAAAAGAGAGAGCUGCAAAAACAGACAGACCUCAGCGUAACAUUCAAAACGGAAGUGCGGCACUCAAAACGGAAGCACAACACUCAAAACGGAGCACAUUCAGCUUCCAAAAAAAGUUCGCAAACCGGAACACUUAGUUCCGGGUUUGCAGUGUUUGGGUUCCAAGUUGUUUGAGUACCAAGGCGUUUGAGAACCAAGGUACCACUGUAUUGUUAGACAUUGGUGACUUGUGGCUGCUAGGAGUCACAAAGACCCCGCCUGCUUGUGCGCAGACCUUAGGGAAAGUUUGUGAGCACUGGCAACAAACUGUUGUCUCGCAGCUUAAGGGUGGCGCCUUUCAGAUCGUUCAGACUGCGGCUCCCACCAUCCUUUACCACUGGCCAUGCUGACUGGGGCCGUUGGGAGUUUGGAGACCAACAAUGUUUAAGGGUGUUAUGGGAAUCUCUGUUGUUUUUCCUGUAGUGGAGUAACAUGGCUGCCCAUGUGGAAAUUAGGGUCCCCGAUGGAAGGAGGUGGAUGUUUCCUGUUGCGUUUGUGCAAAUGGUGUCGCCUUAGUAGGUAAGCACUGUACGUUUACCUGCUUUUCACUGCUCAGCUUGUUGUUGACAUCCGUCUGUCUCGGGAGACAAUGGAGGAGUGCGCCUUUGGAGGUGAAUAUAUAUAUAUAGAGAGAGAGAGAGAGAUUCCCCCCCCCAAAAAAAAACAGGAAGAAAAAUCAUAACCAAAUUAAACCAUAAAUUUUGGUUGACUUCCAUCCACUACCCCUCUUGGUUCCAUUAUAAUAUACCAUAUUUUUCGCUCUAUAGGACACACUUUUUCACUCCUAAAAAGUAAGGGGAAAUGUGUGUGCAUCUUAUGGAGCGAAUGCAGGCUGCGCAGCUAUCGCUGAAGCCAGAACAGCAAGAGGCAUCAUUGCGCAGCAAGAGGGAUUGCUGUUCUGGCUUCUGGGAUUCAGAAUAUUUUUUCCUUUUUUCCUCCUCCAAAAACUAGGUGCGUCUUAUGGUCGGGUACGUCUUAUUGAGCGAAAAAUACGGUGCUUGUUUAUGCACAUCCAUAAAACCUUAUACAGUUAACAAUCCAAUUUUAAAACCUUCUUCAUCUUGGCUGGUCUUGGCCUGGAAUCCAAUCUCUCAUAUCGGAACAAAGUCUUUCGUUAAAACCAUCCAUCAAGUCCUGUAUAUCUCAAUAUAAUAACUUCAGGGGUUUUUUAACAACAAUCAUUUCCCACAAUUUCUUCAAAUCUUAAUAUGUUUUUUACCUUUGGGGAUGAAGUCAAGUGGUUGGAACUUGCAGCGCCUGCUGUGGCUGCGGAGACCGAGAGACAUGUUUUGUUGCAGCUGGGGCAGAAGAAGGCAUCCGGUUAUGCUGCUGCAGAUGCGCCGUGAUGUUUCUUCUCUCUAUGCUCCUCCGAGUGCUUGUUCCUCUUCUGGUCACUGCUGUGCGUGGAUGACCUGACGAUCUGCCUCCAGGCAUGGCGGUCGUCUGCAAGGGGUUGACGUUGCCAGACUUCAUGUCACAUUUGCAGGCAUCUUUGUAACGCAGAGUUGGUGCCUGAAACCAGCUCCCCAUAAAACAUAUCUUUGGGAAUCCUGACGUCUUGCAUUCUGUGUGCAUGACCAAGCCAGCAUAGAUGUCGCUGAGAUGGGAAUGCAGACGUGCUGGGAAUGCGAGUUUGGGAGAGCAUGACUCAGUUUGAGACGCUGUCCUGCCAUGUGCAAGUGGAAAUAAACACAUACAGUCAAACCUUGGUUCCCAAACCCUUCCGUUUUGGAACAUUUUGAAUGCCAAAAACCCGUAAGCAAGUGUUCCUGUUUUUGAACAUUUUUCGGAAGCCGAACCUCCAACGCGGCUUCCGUUUGAGGACAGGAAGCUCCUGCAGCCAAUCGGAAGCCGUGCCUCGGUUGUUGAACAUUUCGGACACUGAACGGGCUUCCGGAACAGAUUAUGUUUGACAACCGCGGUUUGACUGCAUCCUGAAAACACCAUUUCUCUCCAGUAUUCUUUCCUCAGUGGGAAAUGGACUCAGCUUACGUACAAAGCUAUCCUUGCAACUUCCUCGUGAUAGGAGGAGUGUGAAAUGCAGGGAUCAAAAACCGCCUCAUUGCCGGUCCUUUCAAAUGGAAAUCCUUUUGCUGGAGGAGUUUUCCAGGUGUGCUUCCAGCUGUUCCUUGUCCUCAGCAUCUGCGGAUCCCGUGCGAAAGGUACGUGUUGGAAGGGAAGUGGCGCAUUGAUUCAUGCAGUCCAUUGAUCCGCUUUCCACUGUCGGCGAAGUAUUGACAGCAGUAAAUGGAAAUUGUAUCCUGUUGGGGAUAUAUUAAAUGCAGGCACAUCAUAAAAUUCACACAAAUGAACCAGCUCGACUUUAUCUCUCUUCUUUGUUGACAAAAAGAUUCUGCGGCAGGUGCUGUUAUUAUAAAAGCUAUACUGUUGUAUAUAAAAGUUAACCCUUUCCCUUUAGCGGCACAGAGGAAGGAGAGCGUGGUUUAUAGAAAAUCGGCUACUUGGCAGAUCGUGCACAAAAAUCUUGAAAAAGAUAUUGGAAGGCAAUGAUGGCAUAAACCUCAGGGGAGAGGGGUUUUUUAUUUUAAAAAUGUUAUUUUAUUGAGUUUUGAACAAUCUAAACGGUACAAUAAAGAGUAACAGUGUCAGCAAAGCAAUUGCAGAUCUCUUGCAAUUUGUUCCGUAAACUAAGACACGCACCAAGAAGACAGAAACAAGGAGCGGAAACAAAGAUGGACUCAGAUUAGUUCAUCCAAUCUCCCUGCAUGUAAGGUUGGGGCUUUGCAAGCUACAGAUGAGGCACUGAUAAAUAGAAACCAUGCACUUAAAAACAUAUCUGGUUUAGCCUGGCCGUUGGCUAAUCUGAAAGGUUCGUUUUUCUAAUUACAUAAUGCCUUAAGGCCCUAGUUCUCAGACUUUUCAGUCUUGGCCUUUAGCCUUGGCCACACUUUCAGAAUCAAAAUGUGCUUGCACCACAUCAAAGUUUUUAUGGAUAAGAAAUGCGUCGGAAAACAAAAAGAAGCAACUCCUAGCCGUGCUUGAUUUCUAACAGGGAACUGCUUUAUGAUAUGAUCAUGGGACAGCCCUGAAGGCAGUCCUGUUUAGGGAAGUUUCUAAUGACUGAUGUUUUAAUGUAUUUUUAAUCUUUUCUUGGAAGUCGCCCAGAGUGGCUGGGGAAACCCAGCCGGAUGGGCGGGCUAUAAAUAAUAAAUUAUUAUUAUUAUUACUUAUUAAGGGACAUCCAGAAAGUACAAAACAACACAGCUAAAAAAAGAACAUGAAUCAUUCCCAAAAUAUAAUUAUAAAUAAGCCUCUUGCAUACAUACCUUAGGUAUGUAUAGAAAACACAGUGAGAGGUGUGAGCUUGCUUUUGCCAGGUAACCUCUGUAUUGGGUCUAAUUAGAUCAAUAUAGGACAAAUUAGACUUAGGCUAGGUCUAAUUUGAGACCUGCACAUUUCUGAUCUUUCAUGUUUGUCAGAGUUGAAAAUCCCUUUUCUCAAUUUCCUUGGUAUUCUUUGAUGGUCUUGCUCUCAUUUUGAAAAGGUAUCUACCCAUAUUCUGC